rnacentral:rRNA from 1 species
GGGGAAAAUUUAAUAAUAGGGGGAAAUAUUAAAAAAAUUUUUAAAGUUAAAAUAUUAUAAUGGGGGUUAAAGUAUAUUUAAUGGAAAAAAUUAAAAAAUUUAUAGUUAAUUAGUAUUGUUAAAGAAUUUUGAAAUAUUAUGAAAAAAAAAUUUUUAUAAAAGUAAAUUUAAUUUAUUGUAUCUUGUGUAUCAGAGUUUAUUAAUUAAAUUUUUUAAUUAAAAUAAUCUCGAAUUUAAAAGAGAUAAUUAAUUAUAAAAGUUAAUGUUGAAUAAUUAUUUUAAAUAAUUAAUUUGAAAUGAAAUGUUAAUCGUUUUUAAAUAUAUCUAGUUUUUUUAGAAAAAAAUUUAAUUUUUAAUUAAAAUAAAUUUAUUUAUUAAUUUAAAAUUUAAUAAAUAAAAUUUUAAAUUUAAUAAUUUAGGGGAUAAGCUUUAAAUUAAAAUUUUAUAAUUAAAUUAAAUAAAAUUAAAAUUUUUAAAAUUUAUAAUGUUUAAAAUUUUUAAUUUAUUAUAAAAAAUUUUAAUUUAAAUAAAAUUUAAAUAAAAAUUUAAUUUUUUUAUAAAAAAAUUUUUUAUAAUUUAUGAAAUAAAGUUAUAAUGAUAAAAUUAGUAUAUUAUAAAAAAGAAAAUAAAUUUAAUUUAAAAUUAAAUUAAAGGAAUUCGGCAAAAUAUAAUAUUCACUUGUUUAUCAAAAACAUGUCUUUUUGAUAAUAAUUAAAAGUCUAAUCUGCCCACUGAUAUUAUAUAUAUUAAAGGGCUGCAGUAUAUUGACUGUACAAAGGUAGCAUAAUCAUUAGUCUUUUAAUUGAAGACUUGUAUGAAGGAUUUGAUGAAAUAUUAACUGUCUCUAAUUUAUUUUUAGAAUUUAAUAUUUUAGUUAAAAAGCUAAAAUGUUUUUAAAAGACGAGAAGACCCUAUAGAGUUUUAUAAUUUAAUUUAAUUAAGAUAAUUUAUUUUUUUUAAUGUUAAAAUUAAAUAAAUUAUUAUAUUGGGGUGAUAGAAAAAUUAAAUAAACUUUUUUUAAAUAUUAAACAUAAAUAAAUGAUUUUUUGAUCCAUUAAUAAUGAUUAUAAGAAAAAAUUACCUUAGGGAUAACAGCGUAAUAUUUUUUUUUAGUACAAAUAAAAAAAAAAGUUUGCGACCUCGAUGUUGGAUUAAGAUAAAAUUUAAAUGCAAAAGUUUAAAAUUUUGAUCUGUUCGAUCAUUAAAAUCUUACAUGAUCUGAGUUCAAACCGGUGUAAGCCAGGUUGGUUUCUAUCUUUAAAUAAAUAAAAUAUUUUAGUACGAAAGGAUCAAAUAUUUAAAAUAAUUUUAUUUAUUUUGAAUUUUAUUAAAUAAGUAAUAUAUAUAUAUAUGUGUAUAUUU